CAGAUUGUUCCCCCAUGGAGAUCCAUAUUGUCGGGGAUAUUGCAAACUACCUACCUAGUCAAAGUAGUCGACGCGAAAUCAAUGAUGAGAAUGCAGUGACUUAAAGACCUUCUGGUAUCUCAGUCACAGAUCGACAAAAAUGGCAAUCUGGCGAAAGCUACAUUUCGAUCGGAGGAAGAGCCACGGGGUGGUUAUUAAAAAAAAUAAAACAGAUUCAAGAAUCCUCUCUGCGUUGAAGCUGACUCUCACAGAUCUCUCAGGGUUGCCACUUGAAUCAAUAUUGUAACCAUGGAAAGGUGCCCAUUUUUAGAGAUCAAACAUACAGAGACCACGUGCAUGAACAUCUACCUACAUCUGCACGAUGGAAAAAUUUUGAACAUGUAUCGAACACCAUCACAAUAUCCAUCACCGGAGCACUUAAACCCACAUUGAGUCACACUAAUUUUCGCAGUAUCAUGGAAGCAGAAAUUGCUGGAGUUAAAACAAAACAAAAACAAAAAGGACGCAAAGAACGAACAAAGGACGAAAACUUGUGAAGAUGUAAGAUACGUGCGAACAUUGAAAUAAACCGGACGGCGCACCUGAUGGAAUUGAA